GUCUUAGAAACCAGUCCCCGAGGCUUGGCAGAGCAGGAGCCCUCCGUGGCAGUGCUUGGGUGUCGAGGCUCUGAGGCUCCGGCCUCACCUCUCCACGGGGUGGAAAGGAACGUCUGAGGAUGCCUGGAGUCGCAAAGGGCCGACCAUGAUGACGGAACCGCAGGCAGAGACGGGGGAAGCAGCACGGGAUCCCAGCCUCAGGCAUGCACGGACGGUGUUGGUUGGGGUUUGAAAUACUCUAAGACAUUUUGGAGCCCUUGGGGCCUAUAAUGAAAAAACAUAUAUCCUGCGAUGAAAACUUGAAACAAGCUACCUGUGAAAAUGCUUUGCAAUGUGUAGAUUCAUCUGACAGUUAAACGUUUGUUUUGAUUCAACAGGGAUUUGGGAACAUACUUUUUAUAUAACCUAUGAAUGGACAUUUCAGAGCCCAUUGAAGCCUAUACUGAAAAUCCAAAUAUCCUGCGAUAAAAACUAGGAAUAAGCUAUCUGUGAAAAUGCUUUGUGAGGUUUGGAUUAAUCUCACAGAUUUAAGCUGCUGCUUUGAUUCAGCAGGUACCAACUUCAAAAAAUGAUGUAAAAGAAGUGCUUUUGAGAGCUGAAAGCUGUGGCCACAUGGAACAAAAGAAUAAAUGGGUUUCUAAUUGCUUUUCAUUCACUGGAGAUGACAGUUCCAAAUAUAUUCACCUUUUUAAAUGAAGAGGAUAGAAUUUUAAUCGGAAGAAUGAGAAAAUUAAAGUGCUAUGAUUAGAAAAACUUGAGGAUUAUUCUAACCAUCAAGAAAAGAUCUCUUAAAAACUUCAGAGGAAUUGCAGAAUUAAAAAAAAAUAUGUGGCAAGAACUCGAUUGGAUAGAUAAAUACAGGUAAUAGAUAUCUUUGAGGUAAAAUAGGACCUCAAUUUAAAUAGAUUAAUGUAAGAAUUUUAAAAAUGCUGAUGUAAUAUAUCAAUAUUACAUCAAUAUAUCAUAAUUAUACAUCAAUAAUACAUCAAUAUAUCAAUAUUACAAUAAUCCUUUCUGGGCUGAAGGAAAUAGAAAUAAAUAAGAGCAAGCCACAGUGGAAAAAACAUACAAUCUGUUUCACUAGGUGAGAGGGUUGUCCUGAAAACAUCUGACAUCUGGAAUGCCCUUGUCUCCACGUAUGCAAAGUCCUCCAAAUAUCCUAAGGUUAAUAUAAUGCCAUCAAGUAAAUGGACUUUGUUUAUAUACAUGGGAACUUUUUAAGAAAUCAAAACAGAUUAAAAUUCUUGAAAGCAGUAUGACUGAUCAAUAACUAAAUCUAUCCAUAACUGACAAUUUGCACAACCUGGGCAACAAGCAUUUUCCAGGAAUAAAUUGCUAUUCAUUCAUAGUGUGUAAAUGACUCUUCCAAAACGAUUUUAAGAGAUGUCACCAUCUUAUUUUUUUCUUCCUGUUCUAUCUUCCACUGUCUCAAACUCUCUUUACUUCGUUCCUCAGUAACAGCUUUCAUCUGCUCUAUUUCCUUUAAAUAUGUGAUAAUCUCUGCUCAUUGACUCUAUUUUCCUAAGAUACGGUUGUUCUAAUUAAUUUUACCUCAGCUGACAUCAGGAGCAUUGUAAAAAUUAAUAACAAUCUUACACAAGAAUCUUAUCUCAAUACUAUGAAAUAUAAUCAGGUUUACCAUUUUUAUAAAUGUCUUUGUUUAGAGUAAAACAGGUGAUGAUAUGGCUUUAUCAUCAAGGGAUUCACCUCAAUGCUAACCUAAAAAGAGAGGAAAUUAGUUCUGAUAUAGGAUCCAAACACAAUUAAGCAUUUUAACUCAUGCAUAUAACAAUCUCUUUGUCUCAAUCAACUGCUACUCUUCUGUUAUACAAUGAAUUUCUUUCUUUCAAUUAUUUUCUAAGAAGCAUUCUAUUUUUGGCAUAAAAUAUUGAUUUCCAUAAACAAAAAUUCAUGAAGGUACAGCAUAAGCGUGAAGACUUUAGAUUUAUAUAUGAUUUCUGAGCAGGGGCUAUUAAUUUUGGUUGACUUUGAGAGAACAUUUGAAUUGAUUAUUAUUAACUAUUUUUAAAUCAGUAGAGAUAGAGUUAUCAUAUACAUAUAGAUGUGUAUAUGCAUAUGUAUGUAUGUAUUUUUCUUCUUUUUUAAAUAAUAGGAGUUGGGACAAGAUAAACUCGUAUAGACUAAAGAAACUUGUAUAGACUAAAGAAAAUAAGUUGGUACAUUUGAAUUGUAGUAUACAAAGGUACAACCUAUUAUAAAUGUAUAUAUGUAUUAAGUAUGAUGAGUAAUAACUAUGUCUCCGAAAAUCCUUCCUGGAAAAUUGUUUUCUCCUAAAUGUGCUGCUGCAGUUAACUUGUAUUUUCCUAUUGAAAUACUAUUGCAAUAUGCUAUGUUGCUUGCUUGCUUGAGUACACGUUACUUGAGUAAACUUUGUGACAGCAGGGAGGGACCACACCUCUCUUUUUCUCAUUCUUUUUUCUCCAACACCUUUUCUAAUACAUGAACAGAGUUUUGGCCUCAUAAAUACCCAUUGCAAUAAAUGAGAGGCAUAUUUUAGGCCCUGGUCAUUCCUGCAAAGUCAUGCUCAACCUCAACGCCAGUAAUCUGGUAUGUUAUUUUUUGUUAUCUUUUUUUCUAACAGUGGAAUAAGUAUUGCAGUGAUUUUAUUUUAUUAUAUCCUAUGUUAUGGACCCUGACACUUCCAUUGGAUACCUUAACACCAUCUGUUCUAUGCAUCACUGCAGAAAAAGGUUGAUGAAAGAUUGAUACCUGUCAUCUUACGAAGUCAUUUGUGCACUAGUUAAAGCAAUUAUAAGUGGGAUGAUAGUCUCUGAAAAAUGUCCAUUUUCCUUUUGUAAAGUAAUUCUGUUGUUUAUGUCAUGUCUCCAUUGAUGAGCCCACUGUCUCUCAAACUAUUGACUUGCCACUUUCUAAUUUUAUAAUCUCCACACCUUUGGAAUUUGCCAACACAACAGAGCAUUAGAUGAUUUUCUUGGACUUCAUGCUUGAUCUGCUUCAAUCUAUACUAUUUGUUAUAAACCUUCAUGACUGACAGAUCAGACCUAUCAUCUUGGAUCCUCUGUAGUGGCAUAUUUUGUCUUUGACAGAUUAUAACUUAAAAUGGCUGAGAAUACUUUGUCAACUUAAAAAUGUAUCUGUAAUAUUUACAAGUAUAUCAUUUUUGUCUUAAGUACUACAAAAUAAAGUUAACUAUUUU